UACGGAGGAGGCAAGCGUUAUCCUGAAUUAUUGGGCGUAAAGCGUCCGCAGGUGGCACCUCAAGUCUGCUGUCAAAGACCGGGGCUCAACCCCAGAAAGGCAGUGGAAACUGAAGUGCUAGAGUGCAGUAGGGGUAGAGGGAAUUCCCGGUGUAGCGGUGAAAUGCGUAGAGAUCGGGAAGAACAUCGGUGGCGAAAGCGCUCUGCUGGACUGCAACUGACACUCAGGGACGAAAGCUAGGGGAGCGAAUGGG
rnacentral:rRNA from 1 species